GACGAACGCUGGCGGCGUGCCUAAUACAUGCAAGUAGAACGAGUUGCGAACGGGUGAGUAACGCGUGGUAACCUGCCUCCUAUCGGGGGAUAACUAUUGUAAACGAUAGCUAAUACCGCAUACCAUCAGAUGUGCCCAGAUGGGAUUAGCUUGUUGGUGGGGUAACGGCUCACAAAGGCGACGAUCCCUAGCUGGUCUGAGAGGAUGACCAGCCACACGGGAACUGAGACACGGCCCAGACUCCGACGGGAGGCAGCAGGGGGGAAUAUUGCACAAUGGGCGAAAGCCUGAUGCAGCCAUGCCGCGUGUAUGAAGAAGGCCUUCGGGUUGUAAAGUACUUUCAGCGGGGAGGCGUUACCCGCAGAAGAAGCACCGGCUAACUCCGUGCCAGCAGCCGCGGUAAUAC
rnacentral:rRNA from 1 species